GACGAAGGAUGCAAGCGUUAUCCGGAUUCAUUGGGUUUAAAGGGUGCGUAGGCGGCCUAAUAAGUCAGUGGUGAAAUCUCCUCGCUUAACGAGGAAACUGCCAUUGAUACUGUUGGGCUUGAGUACAGAUGCUGUGGGCGGAAUAUGACAUGUAGUGGUGAAAUACAUAGAGAUGUCAUAGAACACCGAUUGCGAAGGCAGCUCACAAAACUGUAACUGACGCUGAGGCACGAAAGCGUGGGGAGCAAACAGG
rnacentral:rRNA from 1 species